ACGACUCUCGGCAACGGAUAUCUCGGCUCUCGCAUCGAUGAAGAGCGUAGCGAAAUGCGAUACCUGGUGUGAAUUGCAGAAUCCCGCGAACCAUCGAGUCUUUGAACGCAAGUUGCGCCCGAGGCCACUCGGCCGAGGGCACGCCUGCCUGGGCGUCACGC
rnacentral:rRNA from 1 species